rnacentral:lncRNA from 1 species
CAUUAGAUGAAAUGAGGGACUAACAGAGAAGAGUCAGAUGGAGAGAGAGCUCCCACUAUGACAGAGCCAGAAGAAUAGAGAGAGCAGGCUCUCUCUACAGCUCAGCCCGAAUAGCCAGAAGACAUUGUAGCUCAGAGGAUCCAAUUGGAUGAUGAUCAAAUGAAAAAAUUAGUACAGCAUGUGCAUGACAAGCUUUUGGACUCCAUGG